UUUCCUGAAGCAAAAAAAAAUUUCAAAUUAACAUAUCAAAAGUUGACUAAAAUACUUACCUAUUUGAGGUCGUCGAUCCAAGAUGCAUACAAGUGUCUGUCCAUGUGGCCACAAACCUAUCCUUAAAUGGAUUUAACCAAUUGUCAUGUAUGUAUUCAAGAGCUUUUUGAAAUUCACUAAACUUAGACUCAAUCUGUCGCAAACAACGCCAAUAUUCCUC
rnacentral:lncRNA from 1 species